rnacentral:rRNA from 1 species
AUGUUGAUGCAAGACUAUUUCACGGAGAAUCCAACGUAUCCACCGCACCUCUUCCGAAGAAGGUACCGAAUGCGCCGAUUCCUCUUUGUGAAAAUUGUUCAAGCUUGCGAGGCAAAUUGUCGGUAUUUUACUCAACGAAGAAAUGCUGCGGGCUUGAAGGGAUUUAAUGCAUACCAAAAAAUCUCGGCAGCAAUGCGGGUGAUUACAUAUGGCGUUCCAGCUGACUAUGCCGAUGAGUAUCUUCGCAUUGGUGAAGAUACUACAAUUAAGUCAGUGCGUAGAUUUGCCAAAAUGAUCAUCCGUGUCUUUGGUCCCGAAUAUCUUCGGGCACCGAACGAGGAUGACACAAAGAAAUUGAUGGCAUCUAAUGAGAGGAGAGGUUGGUCUGGCAUGUUAGGUAGCAUUAAUUGUAUGCAUUCGACAUGA